UCGGUUUCGAAAAAGACUAAAAGAGACAAAGUUUAAGAUUUCAAAUUAAAUGAAACGAUACGUGGGCUGUACGAAAAAUAGCAGUGAGUUCACAUCAAAUUACAAAAAAAUGUGUUCGUCGAGUAAACUUUGUGUCGUGGCUCUUUAAUAGAAUCGCCUAAAUCACAUUCACACUUCAUACUUUUUAGCGGAUUUGAGUCCUGAACCACAGCCAACGUAACAACAAGAUAUUCCAGUUUUGCUUCUGCUGGAACUGUCAUCUCAGCAACAACCUUUGCAUCACCACUUGGAUAAACAGCAUCCCUGUUGAUUGGAGAUUCUAACCAUGGCCGAGCUACGUAUCUCUUCCUUCGUCUCCCUUUCUUUAAAUGUUUUCGUGUACACUUCAUGUGAAUGUGGGUGUAUUCACGAGGACCCCUUUUCUCCCUAUCACGCCUGGUGGACUCAACUUUUCAGCGGAUGGAUGGAUCACUUGUGGAAGGAUACCUGGCUGAAUUUCCAAAGUUCAAAAGUAGGAAAAACAUUUAUCUCUAUUCCUCUUUCUGACUAUUGAGUGGGCGUUGAUUAUGAAUCGUUACCGAGUACGAUUAUUCCUGAUCUAUAUGCGGUUAUUGACUGGAACUGUUAUCUCUUGCCGUUUUCGUCGACU